rnacentral:rRNA from 1 species
UACGACUACAUAUCAGGCAUAUCAAUAAGCGGAGGAAAAGAAACUAACUAGGAUUCCCUCAGUAACGGCGAGUGAAGCGGGAAGAGCUCAAAUUUGAAAUCUUCAAGGUUUUACCUUGACGAAUUGUAGUUUAAAGAAGUGUUUUCUGUUGGUGUUUUGGUAAAAGUUCUUUGGAAUAGGACAUCAUAGAGGGUGAGAAUCCCGUAUUUGACCAUUUCUUCCAGCUGUGUGAUACACCUUCAAAGAGUCGGAUUGUUUGGGAAUGCAGUCCAAAAUGGGUGGUAAAUUUCAUCUAAAGCUAAAUAUUGGCGAGAGACCGAUAGCGAACAAGUACCGUGAGGGAAAGAUGAAAAGAACUUUGAAAAGAGAGUUAAACAGUACGUGAAAUUGUCAAAAGGGAAGCGUUUGACACCAGUGUUGUUUUCUCGAAAAUCAAUUAAAAAUGGCGGGAUUUUGUGUUGUAUUGACUUUAUCAGCUUUCUGCACUUUUUUCUUGUCUUUUUUAAUGCACUUUUCGUUUAACAAGUCAACAUCAAUUUCUUUUGUUGUAAAAGGGUCAUUGGAAGGUGGCUUUCUUUUCGGAGAAAGUGUUUAUAGCCUUUGGCCUCUGCAAUCGGAGAGAUUGAGGUCUGCAGCGUAGAUCCUUCGGGGUUAGAUACAUUUGUGCUAAGCUAUAGCCUUGUAUAGACAACUUGUUGACUAUGCUCAGUCAUGUAGCUUACUCGCUUAUGCUAUUUUACCUACGCUUAGGAUGUUGACGCGCGUGUGUGCGUG